GGGCCGCUAGCUCAGUCGGUAGAGCAUCAGACUUUUAAUCUGAGGGUCCAGGGUUCGACUCCCUGGCGGCUCA
rnacentral:tRNA from 1 species